GUAACUUGCAUCCAGUCUUAUUAGUCUUUUGAAAUGCCAUCUUUCUGCUGCACAGCCUUGGACAAAUUUGUGUAGCUUGGCAGAGACACCAUCAUUCAACAAGAGGCUGCAGCCCAGCAAGAUGUCGUGUCUUGUGUGGCCAAGGCAUGGUUGAUAUUUUGGCCUCCUGCCUGUAGGAUGUGCCUCCAGGCACCCAGCAAGACCUGCAGAGCAAAAUGCUUUAUUGGGAAAGCCAGGCUAUCAUCCCCCCAAACAGCAAACUCCAAACCCGAAAGAGAAAGGGCCCUUUGAAGUGAGCUGCCCAAAUGCGACGUGUGACAUCAGAGAGAUGGCAGAUAGCUGGCAGAACAAGGCUGCCUUUCAGCCUGCCCCAGCCCCGGUCGGUGCACGAUUUACACCCCACCUCCCCACGCUGGAGAUGAAAGAUGCCCCAGGCAGCCUGCCUGACCCCGUUGCUUCUGCUAUCUCCACUUGAUUGCACAGUGUUUUGCUCCAAACAAUCCUUCACUGUCUGGGCCGCACAGGUUCAACCUGCCUUUCUGUCCAAAGCAAGCUGGUCUCACACCUUGGGUCCUUGCCUUAAAGUAUGGUGGAAGGAGGACAUUUGCUGGCAUGUCUAUGCUGAAAGGAAAAUCUUUGAGAAGUUGUUCAGUCUUGAGACAAUGGAUUUGUGUAGAAGAUGAGUUGUGGUAAAAUAGCUGCAAAUUAAGCACACAUCCAACAAGUCUGGAGGACAGUGAGUCUGAGGAACCAAGCAGAUGGGCUCAAGAAAGCUCUGAGUGUUCAAGUGGCACCAGGGAUGUGCCCACACAAACAUCUCAGUAGGUUCUUCCUGAGCUAAUGCAAUCCCAGAGGCAUGUCCUAGAUUCGUGUGAGUGGGGCAUGAGUCAAAACCCUGAAGGGUAUUUGAGCAGCUGAGCUCCCAUAAGAUCUGAGCACCCUUUUGACCUCUACUGAAAAGAUCAGAGCCAAGUUUUCCCUUGCGUUCAGAGACUUGUAAAGGCUGAAUGCCCUAAAAUCAAUGUUACUAGUGGGAACAUGGAAAUUAAUUGUGUCAAUCUAUCACUCAUCUUCCCCUAUUACAUUCAGUGAUUGGAACUUGGCCUCCAGUGCAUGAACAAAGUGUCUUCUGUGACAGGUAACUGCUGCGCAGGAGGUGGCUGCAUGGCUGAGUGGUGGAGAGGGCAGGACAAAAAAGUUUGGGUUCCACAUCUUGUUUGUUUUUUUUUUUUCCCCUUGAUCUAAUGUUUUCCUUGCUUGGGGCUAUUAAGGUCAAUGUGAUGUUAAAAUAGGACAGGUAGAAUAAAGGAGGUAAAACAGCAGGAGGUUAACA
rnacentral:lncRNA from 1 species